AAAGCCAACAACUCCCUCCAACCCCGAACAGAAAGCUGGAGACACGACGAACAAACACCACCCGCUGACGCGUAGGACCAGGGAGCAGGGUGUCCCACAUGUCAUCCCAAGCGAAGAACCAACGGGUAUAUCCCCACCAGCAAAUCAGCCUCUCCACGCCUCGGUCCUUCCACCCCGUGUGCAGCGGUCCACGCGCAACGACGCACGACCUCCUGCGCACAGUCCAUCCCGUGGGGGCCCGCGCAACGGCAGGCGAUUGCCCGCGCACACACCAUCCCGUGAGGACCUGAGCCUAGCCAGCGAAUCUGACGAGCGGGUCCAGCAGCACCACCGGCCCACCUAUCAGUGAGAGGAGGAUGCGCUAACCGGGUGCGCAUGCGUCGACCAAUCUCGCCAGCCAACCCGUGCGGCCCUGCACGCACGCACGCUGCGGUCAGCGCCGAAACAGCCACGCGACGCGCAACGAGUGGCCACCCGAAAAUUUCAAACCCAGCCAACCAGAAACCUCGCCGAGCACACCGGUCAUCGGGUUCUACACAAGACUGCUAAGUCAAAACGGGCAGUGAAAAUCGAACGGUAGCCACAGCCACGUUGACCAGACCAGAGGCAAUCGAACGAACACAAACGGUGCGAAAUCGAGGAAGCCUUAGGUGAGCGGGUCGGCUAGCCAUCUGAUAUGUUAGAAUUUUCUCUUCUCACACAAAAAUUGGUUUUGCUGGAUAGCUCUCAUCAGCUUGCUCUUGAUCCGCUGUAUUGAGGUUGCUCCUCCUCACCUCAAGCCACCACUGGAGCUGGUGCUGCCACAGGGUGACCAUCGACGGCGGCUGGUUUGGCCCCUCGCCCGCAGCCUCUUGGAUCCAGCUUCAGUAUGAGGGAGCUGGAGACAUUUUCUUCCCCAAGCGCGCAAACCAAACGCAUCGCCGCUAUUUCUGCGCGAGGCAGCUCAACACAUCAUUCACAUCCUCUACUGCGGCAACAUUCUUCAAUUCGAACUGCAGAACGGAGCUGUGGCAUUAAGACAGAAACCCACUAUCGAAUUUGAGGUUGGUCGAAUAUGAAAACCAUCUGAUGCACCAUAUGUGUUUCUCUAUAUCGCAGCAAGCAAUCCCAUUUUUGUCUGUUAUACAUGC